rnacentral:tRNA from 2 species
CUCUCCAUAGCUCAAUGGAUAGAGCAAAUCCGUCCUAAGGAUGAGAUGUAGGUUCGAUUCCUACUGGGGAGACAA